UUAAGAAAAGUGAUGAAAAAUUUUGAAUCAAGAGUUGAAUUCACAGAAGAUUUGCAGAAAAUGAGUGAUGCUGCAGGUGAUAUUGUUGAUAUAAGAGAAUAAAUUAAAUGUGACUCUGAAUUUAAAGCAAAACACCGAAUUGCUCAUAAACCACAUUCCAAACCAAAAACUUCAGAUAUUUUUGAAGCAGAUACUGCAAAUGAUAUGAAAUCCAAGGAUUUACUUGCUGAUGAAGAACUGUGGGCUCGACUUGAAGAACUAGAGAGACAAGAAGAAUUGCUGGGUGAACUUGAUAGUAAGCCUGAUACUGUGAUUGCAAAUGGAGAAGAUACGACAUCUUCUGAAGAAGAAAAGGAAGAUCAUAACACAAAUGUGAAUGUGAUGCAUCAAAUAACAGACUCUCAUACUCCGGACAGUUGUCAUAAGGAUGUGGCAAGUUCAGAACCAUUUAGUGGUCAGUUGAAUAGUCAGCUGAACUGUUCAGUGAAUGGUUCCAGUUCUUACCACAGUGAUGACAAUGAUGACGAUGACGAUGACGAUGACGACGACGUUGAUGAUGACGACGAUGGUGAUAAUGACCAUGAGGCUUUAGGAGUUGGAGAUAAUUCUAUACCAACAAUAUAUUUUUCUCAUACUGUUGAGCCUAAGAGGGUCCGAAUAAGUACUGGAAAGAAUACCACUUUAAUUCAGUGAAAAGAAAGAAGCCAAACGUAAACGAAAGAACAGCACUGGCAGUGGCCACUCUGCCCAGGAGCUGCCGACCAUCAGGACGCCUGCUGACAUUUACAGAGCCUUUGUUGACGUUGUGAAUGGAGAAUACGUCCCUCGCAAAUCCAUUCUGAAGUCUCGAAGUAGAGAAUAGUGUGUGUAGUGACACCAGUGAAAGCAGCACUGCUGAAUUUGAUGAGAGGCGGGGCAUUUUGAGGAGUAUCAGCUGCGAAGAAGCCACUUGCAGUGACACCAGUGAGAGCAUUUUGGAAGAGGAACCACAAGAAAAUCAUCAGAAGAAACUUCUGCCCUUAUCGGGAACACUUGAGGCUUUUUCUGGAACUGUUAUAGAAAAAGAAUUUGUAUCACCUUCCUUAACACCACACCCAGCCAUUGCUCAUCCUGCGUUACCCACCAUUCCAGAACGAAAGGAAGUUCUGUCGGAAGCAUCAGAAGAAGCUGGAAAGAGGGUUUCAAAGUUUAAAGCUUCCAGACUGCAGCAGAAAAACUAGGCCCUGUGGAGGAAAUGGGAAUUUACACCUUAAAACCUAGUUGUUCAUUUGUUUAGAAUAUCUAUAGCAAAAUAGGUUACAUGUAGUUUGAAAUAAGGUAUCCUGAGUUACUUUGGCAACAAAUUCUUUUACCCUUACCAGUGGUAUUUGAAAAAAAUCAAAGUAACUGUCUGAAUAUUUUAAUAUUCACCUUGUUUUGUUAAUUCUCUGAAUACUGUCAACACUUGUCUGAGUUUGCCUUUAUGAUGCAGUGGCAGCAUUUUGAAUUACUUUUCAACAAAUACUGUUCAGAUGCAUUGUUUUUGUGUUUCAGACUAAAUACAGGCAGUUUUGUGCCAGCUGUGAUAUUGUGCAUACCAUAUGGACCCUUUUAAAGAAAAUUUUAAAAUUUCAAAUAUAUUCAACAAUUAUAUCACUUGCUUUUACAUUUUAAAGGCACUUUAAAAAAAAUCUACUUCUCUUGUAGGUUUUGCAGCUAGUUGGCUAUUUAAGAAACCUCUCCCCUCUGAAUGUCAUACUGUAAUCUUUAAGGCAGAAAACUACAUGAGUUAAUUGUACUCUAUGGGAAAAUUUCUU